rnacentral:sRNA from 1 species
AAACAAUUAGAUGAGUACCCGCACGUAGUGCGGGUGUAUGUAUUAUUAUUUACAAAUUGUUUUAUAUAAUGUUUGUUCAUAUAAAGUAAAGUUGAAUGCAUCGGUUUUGAAACAUAAAUAUGAUUUGUAAUUGUUUUUAAAAAGUCCAACUAUAUUAGUUCAUUUGAAAAACGAAUGUGCUUGAGUUCUUUUUUAUUGUUGUUUUAAAUUCUCAGUUUUUUUUUAAUUUAUAUAUCUUUGUUUUUGGUUAUAAAUGUAAAUUGUGAGACGGUGAAAUUUUAGAAAAUUUAUUUCUUACACUAUAAAUAUACCAUGUCUUUAUUAACCAUGUCUCUGCAUAUUCAAUCUAAGCUUAUUCAACUUGAUGUUCUUGAAAAGUUUAGUUAAGUUCUUGUUAUAAUCUUAUAUCUUACGUUUUAGUUAUAAGGAUGGCUCCUCAAACAUCUUUCAAAUUAUUUGUUUUCUUAGCAUAAAUCUCGAAAAGCUUAGAUAUAUUUAAUCUGCAUAUUCAUUUAGUUUCUUUCAUAAUAAUCGUCUAAUUUUUAGGCAAGUAAUAUAUGUAGCAUGUUUGGAUUUUUAGCCACUUAAGUGGAUCUCGAAAUUAAAGAGGAUAUAUUGAAUUAAAAAAUGUAGAAAAAGUGAUGGUUCAAGUUCUGAUUAAUUAUAUUCUUUAUGUUGAAUUAAUUACUAAUUAUGUAUUACUUAUUUUAUGAAGUUUAGGUGGCAAGCUCUUAUGUGCUGAUGUGUCAAGUUGUUGGAGAGAGUUAGCCUCUUUUCGUAUAUAUGAUUUGUGGUAUAUAAUGAAAAAUAACUAUUUCGGAUUCAUAUAUAAGAAGC